GCUGGGUGCGGUGGUGCACACCUUUAAUCCCAGCAGCUUGGGGGAGGCUGAGACAAGAGGAUCCUGAGAGUUCUAAGCCAGCCUCAGCACUGCUGAGGCGCUAAGCAACUGAGUGAGACCCUGUCUCUA
rnacentral:sRNA from 1 species